GGGAGGAGGGGGAGAGCGGCGGAGGGGAGGAAGCGGCGGGAGGAGCGGCCGUGCGGUGCGCGGGGCGGGCGGUGCGUGUGGCGGCGGGACGGCGAGAGGGACCGCGUGCUUUUGUUCUUCUUUGCCUGAAUUCUCUUGGUGGAAAAGCCUCUAGCAGUCCCAGAGUUAUCUCCUUCCUGAAGCCAUUACAAACUUCAGCUUUAUAGCAGGCAAACACAAAUGCAUGUAGCACUGGAUCUUUAAAUCACCUUUGAUAUCUAAGAGACUAGCAGAAAUUAAUUCUGGUUUUGGAGAGUAAAUGUUCUGAGUGUGUACACAGAAGAUACUUUCAGUUGUUAAAAUGCUUAGAAGUUUUUGGUGGAAGGGCCCAUUCUCAGUGCUUUAAACAGCCAAAAUACCAGAACAGAUCCAGGAGCUCAGAACAAAACUUCAUCUGGUCUACAGUCUCGUUUUGGUCAGCGACUCACAGAGAAUGAAUGUCCUAGACCAGAUACUCAUGAGAAUCACACUUGGAAAUUUAGGCAUCCAGGACUUCAAACAUUCUAAGCAGAGGACUCUGAGUCAUGUUCAUCUGAUCAAAUAUGUGAUUCAAACAUGAAUUUAAAAAAAAGCACUAAAGGAUACAGCUUGGCUUUACCUUUGAUUUCUGCUUUUAGAAGUUUUUCAGAUGUCUCUGCUGACCUUGGAACUCCCUUUGUACAAGUUCAACCCUGAAAAUGAAGUCAGAUGUGCAGUGCCCUGCCUGGCUGUGGUUGUAGUAAAAUUUUGUGAUGUUCCAGGGCAGGUUUAGUCAUCUUUGUCUUUGCAGUGCCCAGAGCUGUAUCUACUAUUUUAGAGUCAGACAUAAACAAGUGUAUUCUCUGUCUAUAAAUGGACAGUGGUAUUACAUGAACAACAGCUUGUGGUGAUUCACAUGAGGAUAAACUGGAUUUUUCUGCCAGAAUAAUUCACCUGGAGAGAUGACUGCUUCCAUUCACUUCCUUUCUUGGAAGCAGGCUGAGAAUAACAAACUGUUCCGAUAACAUCAGCCUAAUUCCAGUCAACAUAUUUCCUACUGAGAGGCAGGGCAGGCCCCACCCUGUUACAUGACAGGCAGUAAUUGGUCCUAGGAAUGUGACUCAUAACUCUGACACUUGGCCUCAGAGCUAGGUGUCAGCAGCAGCCAGUUGUCACAAACCCCUGUUUGAAAGAGUGAUGCCAAGCCUUCUCUCCCAGCAGUUCAGUGUUCACCUCUCACUCCUUGGGGCUCUGAAAAGUCUCAGUCUCAGCUGUGUGCUCCUAUUAGAUGGCUGUAGAAUUUCAAAUGAGUUUCCCUUUCUUUGUCUUGCUGCUGUUUCUCUUGCUGCAAACUAAACAUUCAGGGCAUCCAGGGUACUUCAUGGUGGUCAGUGUGCCCACAAAGAGAGGACAGACCUCGUUUUAGACCACCUCAGUGAUUUCUAAGCAUUUAUAUUUGUUGAAGCAGACACUGUUGUAGCCUUAUCCUCUCUUCUUCCAGCUCUAUAAACACUAGGUCAUUAAAUGUUUAAUGGUUUUGGGUUUAUUGAAUGUUUAACUAUUUCACGCUAAAUGGAAAAGUCAUUGAAAGGAAGAAAGGCAUUGUCUACAAAUAAUAUAAUUACAGUAUUAAUAACAAUAAGCUGUGACUACAUGGAUCUCAGCUUCUGAGUAUUAGACAACAGGCUAACAGCCUGGGCACAACAGACUGUUAUAUAUUUUAGUGUAAAGAAAAACAUUAGACAAAUAACUCUGGAUCUGACUAUCUGGCUUAUUAUCUUGUCUCCAGCAAUAUCUUACAGCAGAAAUCUAGGGAAAAAGACAGGUAGAGAGGGACAUUUCUGAAAACACCCUCCUGAUUUCCAACAAAUGAUAGCUCAUGUCUUCCCCAGUUAGAGGUGGUAUCACACCAUUCCACAUUCAUCUCCAUUAUUGAGGCUAGUUAUUUUUUUGAGCCCAUGCAAACUCUUGGCAUGCAUAACGUUCUGUAGCAAGGGUUUCCAGUGCAGGCAUGGUAUUUUGGAACCUGUCCCUUGUUUGUUUCAUCUGAGGACUGUGCUGGCCCACAAUCAUAGGCUCAAUCCACCCACAGUGACCUUUAUCCCCUAAGGGCUGCACUGGAGUCCAAACCUGAACCAUUACUCUGAAAUUUACCUGCACAUGGAGAUAGGGGCAUGAACCUACUUUAAGGGUCCUAAGGGACUUGUCCAAGAUCACAUGGAGAGGCACUGGAAAAACAGGAAAACAUCUCAAGAGGGCUCUGAUGAAAGCACCCAAACUUUCCUUCAAAUGUCCUUCUCUCUGGCUUAGUAUCAAUCUUAGUGCUAUGAUUUGGGCUUGCCAGAUAAUCUACAACAGCUUGCUGGAUCCCAGAGCAUCUGAUCUUCUCUUUUGAGCCCAUGGAGAACCAGGCUUCUGGCCAGCUAAGGAGAACAAUCCAGGCAGGCAGCCCUCUGGCCAAACUCCCUCUGGGUGUGCUAGCUUGGACAUUGAUAUUUCCCUGACACUAAGCUUUCCUCUUCAGCAUGAAUUGCUCAUUACUUGAAUUCCAUCAGGGAUUUCUUGUGUCGUGAAAGAGUGGAGAUUCUGCCUGAACACACUGAGCAGGACUGACUGCUUUCUGUGGACGAAGCUGUUGAUGUGUGUGUGUGUGCCUGUAUCUGCAGGACAUAGAUGUCUCAGUGUUUGCCUCUCAAUGGUGCCUCUGUUCUACAACCAUCUGUGUAUAAAGCUGCUAUUCUGCCAUGAACAAUGACUCAUACAGGAAAGUCUCGAAGAAUUAGGCAAGAACCGUGUUCAUCCUGAGGACUAUUGAAGACGAGGAUCCAAUCCCAUAAAUUCUUGGAAGAGCUCAGCCUUGGUUUUCCCUUGACAGCUUUAAUCUUUAAAAUCUGCUCUUGCUGAUACACGUUUACAAACAGCAGGCUGGCAGCAAACUGUUUCUGUCAGUGGGCAUCACGCAUCCACUGCUUGCCUCUGAGCCCUGCUCACUGUGACCAGCUUCUCCUCACUCAAUUUUCCAAAGAGGAUUUUACUAGUGACUCUUCCACCUCCUGUAUUCUUCUGAGCCCCCACAGAAUAUUCUCUCCAGUCCCCUUUCUUAUAUUUCCAGGCUAUUCUACUCCUCUGCUAACAAUACUGGGAGAAAGUAGGGUCACUGUUCCUGACCCACUGCAAGUUUCACCUGGACCUGGAGCUGCCCAAAAACUCUGUGAAUGCUGUAGGGACUAUCUGGGUAUCAAAAAAUCAUAACAGUCUCUGCUUCAAGGUGUAGUCAGAUUUGGGUACUCAGGAAAGAGCUGAAAGGAAGGAAAUAUCCAGAGGAUCUUAUCAGACAGUCUCCUGUAGGCAGAGUGUAUGCAGAAGGAAGAGUUUCUGAAGAUCAACUGAGCUUCUCUGACUAGUGGGGAAGGUUCUAGUUUGUGGCAUCACUGUGGAAAGGAAAGAUUUCAGGGUUCUUAUGCUUCAGUGACCCAGAAAGGAAACUGUGUGAGAAACAAAGAGUAAGAUGAUCAAGAAAGUUUAAAACAAAUUGUGACAUAUGCUCAUAAUGUAAUCAUAAGAAAAUUCCAGGUGUGCAAACCAUACAUACAAAAAAUACACACAAUAAACACUGUUUUUCAAUUGGACUAGAAUUUAAUUAGGAAUUUUAUUCUCAGAUUUUGAAAUUUCUCUAGGUACCAGAUCUGUGUUUCUUGGCUGUUCCAGUGAAUUGAUCAGUCCUCAAGCUGCAGAAUGCAACUUCCUUCCUGCUGGAUUAGUGAGUUCAGCUGAGUCAGUGAAAAAUGUGCGUUGAAAUCCCAUCUCCUACUCCAAGCAGGGCUAACUUUCAAGCUGGCUAAAGUCACUCCAGGGUCUUGUCCACAUGUAUCCUGGAAAUCCCAUGGAGAUUCUACAACCUCCUUGGGCAGCACUCUCCUGGUAAACGAGGUGCUCCCUUUGUUGGUUUUUCUGGCUGGCAACAUUGCCUUUUGCCCUUUCACUGUGCACUUGCAGGGAAAGCUUGGAAGCUUUGGAAUUCUUACCUCUCCCCUUGCAGCAGCAUCUCUGCAGUGAGGUCCCCCAGCCUUCCCUAAUUCCCAUCUCCUCUCCUCACCCAGCACACAAUUCCUGCAGGUCCUGGGGCUGUGCUGGAGCCUCUCCAGCGUGUCAGCAUCUCCCUUACAAUGGGCUGAGUGUGUUUGAAAACUGCACGGAGUGUUGCAGAUGCAGCCUCGCCAUGGGCAGGCAGAAGGGAGCGAGCACAUCCCUGCACUUGCUGACCACUUGCUAAUGCAAUCCCAUGACUGGUGGGUGUUGCUGCUGCAGGGGAGCACUGCUGACACAGGUCCAGCUUGUUUUCCACGAGAAUCCCAAAGCCUUUACUGCAGGGCUGCACUCUACAGUCAAUCCCCACUCUGCCCUAACACAUGGAGUUGUUUUGUCCCAGGUUAAAAAAAAUAAAGAGGUUGUAUUUUUCACAGAGCAAAUAUGUGAGGUGUAUUAGACCAAAUUUAUCAUGUGAUUGGAAAGGUCAAACGCUGAGUCCUCUUGUGCUGAGUGUGAUGCUAAUACAAGUACAGAUCAACAGUGGCACGUGGGAGCAGCAUUUCAACCUGAGAAUUUGGGGUUUUCUGCGGAAAGUUCUGAUGUCAGUCACAGACUUAAGCAAACUCUCAGCACAAAUUACCCUUUUCCUACAGGCUUGAAAGAGAAUCUUGUAGGCCACUGGAAUGAAUCCCACUUCUAUCCAUUCCCCCAGGACCUCAAAGGAGGAGCAGGCACCAUGCCUAGAGGGGAUGAGCUCCGUGUGUGCAUGGUGUGGUUUUAAAUCAGCAUUUUAAUCCUCCUUUUGAUUAAAAAUCCUCCUUUGCAGAUAGGCAAACUAGCAAGAAUUAUCCUUUGGAUACACUGAGAUAGGACACAGCUCCAUCUCCCUUAAUCAGCUACUUUGUUACUGUUCUAAAAUAAAGAGUCUUGUCUUUUUUUAUUUCCUAGUAGAGGAGAUAUUUAUAUUUCAUGUCACUUCUGGUUUGACUAAAUGAAAAAUAGUACAUUGCUUGUUCUUAAAUAAAUAAAUAAAGCUCAUUUUAUAAACCUA